UGGAGGCCGAAGACCGUGCAUUAGUCCCUCUCCCCGCUUCCUUAUCAAGGCCACGGUGUAGCCCUGCCUGCCUGCGCUCUUAUCCUUCCUGGUAAUCCCUUCGUCCGCCACCCAAUUCGAUGGCGCUGCUCGCUCUGGGACUUAUGGGGGCUCUUCCUGUAGCUUCCUCCUUCUAUCGUGACCCGCACUCCUCCCACCUCUCCUCCUCUCGCGCCGAAAUGGUAUCCCUCUCCGCGACGAAUCCUUUUUCGGUUUCAACGCCCCUCAGAGCUCCUCGGGCGCUUCCUUCAUUAGUGUACUGCGGCAGAGGGGAUAAGAAGACCGCCAAAGGAAAGCGGUUCAAUCAUUCCUUCGGAAACGCACGGCCUCGUAACAAGAAGAAGGGAAGAGGCCCUCCGCGGGUUCCAGCGCCGCCUUCACCUCCCAAGAAAGACCGUUUUGAUGAUGGGGAGGUCGUCAAGAUCGAAAUUGACGAGUCCCUAUUCUCCUAGCUACGUGGAUGCGAUGUACGAGCAUGUUCUCCGUUCCUAUCUUUCUAUUCAAGAAAUUUAUAAUUCCCAGCGGACGAUUGCUGCUGCUGCUGCAGUAACUAUUCUACCUAUCCAUCGCUUCAUGCCCUUUUCCCUUCUCUACCAUUUUUGGCCAACAAAAAGCCAGUCUUUUGCUGCUAAUUUAAUCUUAGGCAGACGAGAGUCAAAUGGAUGACAAAGCCAGAGAAAUGCCUUUGUAAAUUAUAUGCUAGCAAAUAGUUAAGUGAAUACAAAGACAUUACCAUAGGCUGUGGAAAGCACCAAAUAUUCAGGGAGUUUACUGCAAGAUUGAUAAAUAAGCAUAAGUAAGCUUCAUAAGUAUCAGUUGGAGGGGAGUGAUAGUGGAGGAGAGGUGCUUUGUUUUGGUUAUCGUAUAUACGCUGAUGCGCUAUCAGCAGUAUAUGGUCCUUCAGCUUUCACAGGGGGUGCUGAUAUUGAUUCUCUGCUCAUCCUUCACACGGAGAUAGUAGAAAGGCGAUCGUGGAGAUCUAGUAUCUUUCCUCUAGAGAUUGCAACCAUGCUGUAUAUGGUUGUUGAAUGUUCUCUUUUCUAACUUCUAUCAUGUAGCAAAGCUGAUAGUGGACAAUUUCAGAUAUUUCAUUUUAA